rnacentral:snRNA from 1 species
AAAGAAAAUAUCCCCGGAAAGA